rnacentral:rRNA from 1 species
AUUGAACGCUGGCGGCAGGCCUAACACAUGCAAGUCGAGCGGAUGAGAGAAGCUUGCUUCUCGAUUCAGCGGCGGACGGGUGAGUAAUGCCUAGGAAUCUGCCUGGUAGUGGGGGACAACGUUUCGAAAGGAACGCUAAUACCGCAUACAUCCUACGGGAGAAAGCAGGGGACCUUCGGGCCUUGCGCUAUCAGAUGAGCCUAGGUCGGAUUAGCUUGUUGGUGAGGUAAUGGCUCACCAAGGCGACGAUCCGUAACUGGUCUGAGAGGGUGAUCAGUCACACUGGAACUGAGACACGGUCCAGACUCCUACGGGAGGCAGCAGUGGGGAAUAUUGGACAAUGGGCGAAAGCCUGAUCCAGCCAUGCCGCGUGUGUGAAGAAGGUCUUCGGAUUGUAAAGCACUUUAAGUUGGGAGGAAGGGUUGUAGACUAAUACUCUGCAAUUUUGACGUUACCGACAGAAUAAGCACCGGCUAACUCUGUGCCAGUAGCCGCCGUAAAAC